rnacentral:rRNA from 1 species
CCGGCGCACGGGUGAGUAACACGUAUCCAACCUGCCGUCUACUCUUGGACAGCCUUCCGAAAGGAAGAUUAAUACAAGAUGGCAUCAUGAGUUCACAUGUUCACAUGAUUAAAGGUAUUCCGGUAGACGAUGGGGAUGCGUUCCAUUAGAUAGUAGGCGGGGUAACGGCCCACCUAGUCUUCGAUGGAUAGGGGUUCUGAGAGGAAGGUCCCCCACAUUGGAACUGAGACACGGUCCAA